CUUCUGAGACUUUGAAUUUAAAGCCUAGAGCAUUCUGUAAAGCACUGGGUGGACUCUUUUCUCUUUUCUCUCUCUUUUCUCUCUUUUUUCCCCUCUUUCUGGAGGCUCGUCCCACGUGGCAUUUCUGAUCCUUUUCCUUCAGUUUUGAGGGCCAGAAACCCCUUUUUGAGCACAGGCACACGAUAUCUUUGCCCUCCCCAGCCCCUGUCAUGUUCUGCCUUACAGCUGCGGUGCUCAGAGAUGCUGUGUGUCCCCAUGCACCACAUGCUCAUCUUCUGUCCCGCCAUCCCCCUGUCGCAGUGUCCCUGUGCAUGGGCAGGGAUGGUGGCAGAGGAGGGGAGGAGCAGCAGGAGCAAGCUGCACGUGGGCUGAGGAUGAUUUCUGACCUUUCUGUCCUGCUGCCUUCCAGUUCUUCGUCCUCGUGAGCCUUGUCUUUGUCACACAGCUCGUUGGGGCUGUGCUCUUCCUGGCGCACUGGAAGCAGGUACUGUCCCCUCAAGCUGAUGGCUCGGGGUGGGUGAUGGUGGUGUGCGGUGUCCCUGUCCCCAUACCCGGUUCCUGACCCCAGGUGCUCACAGGUGGCACUGAUCCCACAGAUCCGGCCAGAGCUCUUCCUGUCAGAGCUGCGAAGGAACUACUGUGGGGAUGAGGGUGCUGAGGUCUUCUCUGUGGCUUGGAAUACCCUCAUGGUGACAUUCUCCUGCUGUGGCGUUUUAGGGCCUGAAGAUUUUGGGAACGGCUCCCACUUCCAGGAGCUGCACCCUGGGACGCCCUGGCCGCAGGCGUGCUGUGCCCGGGAUGGGCUCCUGCAGGCAGGCGAGCUGCUGAGCUGGGAGCAGUGCCAGGAAAGGAACCCUGGCUACAUCCAUGAGCAGGUAGGGCUACCUGGGCACCUGCUGCCUGGGGCACUGCUGUGCUGUGGUUCUGCGCAGCGGUGACUCCCCAAAUCUCCAGCUCACGCUGCCCCACCACGGUGCCCCCAACUUGUCCCAACCUCCCUGUCCCUCGAUCUGUCUCUGAGCUCCCUGCAGCCCUGUGAAGCACAAGGAAUGCCUCCAUCGUCUCCCCUCCUGCCCAGGGCUGCUUCCCCACCUU
rnacentral:lncRNA from 1 species